rnacentral:tRNA from 4 species
AGUCCUGAGGUGAACUGUCAUGUUGAACUGCAAAUUCAAAGAAGCAGCUUUAAUGCUGCCGGGGCUU